rnacentral:tRNA from 1 species
ACUCUAAUAGUUUAUAAAAACAUUGGCCUUGUAAGCCAAAGAUUGAAGACUACACCC